rnacentral:rRNA from 1 species
UACGUAGGGGGCAAGCGUUGUCCGGAAUCAUUGGGCGUAAAGCGCGUGUAGGCGGCUCGAUAAGUCUGCUGUGAAAGUCCAGGGCUCAACCCUGGGAUGCCGGUGGAUACUGUCGAGCUCGAGUCCGGAAGAGGCGAGUGGAAUUCCUGGUGUAGCGGUGAAAUGCGCAGAUAUCAGGAGGAACACCAAUUGCGAAGGCGACUUCCUGGCCUGUUCUUGACGCUGAGGCGCGAAAGCUAGGGUAGCAAACGGG